rnacentral:rRNA from 1 species
UACGGGCAGCAGUGGGGAAUAUUGCACAAUGGGCGAAAGCCUGAUGCAGCUAUGCCGCGUGUAUGAAGAAGGCCUUAGGGUUGUAAAGUACUUUUCAUCGGGGAGGAAAAAACAAACUAAUAAUUUUAUUUCUUGACGUUACCCGAAAAAGAAGCACCGGCUAACUCCGUGCCAGCAGCCGCGGUAAUACGGAGGGUGCUAGCGUUAAUCAGAAUUACUGGGCGUAAAGAGCACGUAGGUGGUUUUUUUAAAGUCAGAUGUGAAAUCCCUGGGCUUAACCUAGGAACUGCAUUUUGAAACUGAAAUACUAGAGUAUCGUAGAGGGAGGUAGAAUUCUAGGUGUAGCGGUGAAAUGCGUAGAUAUCUGGAGGAAUACCUGUGGCGAAAGCGGCCUCCUAAACGAAUACUGACACUGAGGGUGCGAAAGCGUGGGGAGCAAACGAGGGAUUAGAUACC